ACGGGGGGUGCAAGCGUUGUUCGGAAUUACUGGGCGUAAAGCGCGUGUAGGCGGCUUGAUAAGUCAGAUGUGAAAGCCCUGGGCUCAACUCAGGAACUGCAUUUGAGACUGUGUAGCUUGAGUCAAGGAGAGGAGAGUGGAAUUCCUGGUGUAGAGGUGAAAUUCGUAGAUAUCCGGAGGAACACCGGUGGCGAAGGCGGCUCUCUGGACCUAUACUGACGCUGAGGUGCGAAAGCGUGGGGAGCAAACAG
rnacentral:rRNA from 1 species